rnacentral:rRNA from 1 species
UACGGAGGGUGCAAGCGUUGCUCGGAAUUAUUGGGCGUAAAGGGCAAGUAGGUGGUCUCAUUUGUCAGGGGUGAAAGCCUUGGGCUUAACUCAAGAAGUGCCCCUGAAACGGUGAGACUAGAGUGCUGGAGAGGGUCGUGGAAUUCCCGGUGUAGCGGUGAAAUUCGUAGAUAUUGGGAAGAACACCGGUGGCGAAGGCGGCGACCUGGUCCAUUACUGACGCUGAGGCGCGACAGCGUGGGGAGCAAACAGG